CAUAGGUUAAUGAGGCGAACCGGGGGAACUGAAACAUCUAAGUACCCCGAGGAAAAGAAAUCAACCGAGAUUCCCCCAGUAGCGGCGAGCGAACGGGGAGGAGCCCAGAGCCUGAAUCAGUGUGUGUGUUAGUGGAAGCGUCUGGAAAGGCGCGCGAUACAGGGUGACAGCCCCGUACACAAAAAUGCACAUACUGUGAGCUCGAUGAGUAGGGCGGGACACGUGGUAUCCUGUCUGAAUAUGGGGGGACCAUCCUCCAAGGCUAAAUACUCCUGACUGACCGAUAGUGAACCAGUACCGUGAGGGAAAGGCGAAAAGAACCCCGGCGAGGGGAGUGAAAAAGAACCUGAAACCGUGUACGUACAAGCAGUGGGAGCCUCUUUAUGG
rnacentral:rRNA from 1 species